GGUAGGGCGAGGGAAAGGAAGGCCUAGAAGGAGGAAGCAGACGGAAAACCGGAGAGGAGGGGGGCAUACCUCCUCCUCUCUCAAGCGUUCCGUCUGCUUCCUCCUCCACGGCCUUCCUUCCCCUCGCCCUACCU
rnacentral:pre_miRNA from 1 species